rnacentral:tRNA from 1 species
UCCCUGGUGGUCUAGUUCUAAGACUCUGAACUUCCAAAGCAGGGUCCCAGGUUCAACCUCUGGUCAGGGAA